AUUGAACGCUGGCGGCAGGCCUAACACAUGCAAGUCGAACGAGUGGCGCACGGGUGAGUAAUACAUCGGUACGUGUCCUAUCGUCGGGGAUAACUGAUCGAUAGUUCAGCUCAUACUGCCUACGAUUGGCCCGGCCGAUGCCAGAUUAGCUCGUUGGUGAGGUAAAGGCUCACCAAGGCGACGAUCGGUAGCUGGUCUGAGCGGACGACCAGCCACACUGGGACUGAGACACGGCCCCGACUCCUACGGGAGGCAGCAGUGGGGAAUAUUGGACAAUGGGGGCAACCCUGAUACAGCCAUGCCGCGUGAAGGAAGAAGGUAUUCGGAUUGUAAACUGCUUUUGUCAGGGAAGCGGUACCUGAAGAAGAAGCAACGGCUAACUACGUGCCAGCAGCCGCGGUAAUAC
rnacentral:rRNA from 1 species